rnacentral:rRNA from 1 species
AUACGGAGGGUGCGAACGUUAUCCGGAAUCACUGGGUUUAAAGGGUGCGUAGGCUGUUUAAUAAGUCAGUGGUGAAAGGCCGUCGCUUAACGAUGGGACUGCCAUUGAUACUGUUAGACUUGAAUCAGGUUGAGGUUGGCGGAAUGUGGCAUGUAGCGGUGAAAUGCAUAGAUAUGCCAUGGAAUACCGAUUGCGAAGGCAGCUGACUGGACCUUGAUUGACGCUGAGGCACGAAAGCGUGGGUAGCGAACAGGAUUAGAUACCCUGGUAGUCCACGCCCUAAACGAUGCUUACUCGUUGUUUGUCCUUCGGGAUGAGUGACUAAGCGAAAGCGAUAAGUAAGCCACCUGGGGAGUACGACCGCAAGGUUGAA